UCAAAAAUGUACUUUGCAUUUUUACCACUUUUCUAUUUUUGAUUUUCCGUGUUCAUCUUGAUAUAAAUAGCAAUUAAAUUGUUUCGAAAUUUAAUGCAUUAUGUUUUGUAUGAAUUUAACUUUUUUAAACUUGUACUACAAAGAGAAUGUGUUAGUUUGUCUAUUCUAUAAUAUGUGGGGAAUAUUUUUUCUGAAAUGAACGAACCAAAGCUGAAAUUUCUUUCAUUGCUUGAAUGCUGUACUAUUCUCGAGGUGGUUGCCAGCUGCAUUUAAUAUUUUUAAAUAUAAUAAUGCCCUUUUUGUAGUUAAGAAUAGGUAUAACAUUUUUCCAAGCGUAAUUUUCCCUCUUUUAUUUUCCGAAUACUUUCUCUCUCAUCAGACAGUCGUAUGCUUGAACGGUCGAUCGAGAGAGCAAGAUACUUUAUUCAUCUUGAUAUAAAUAGCAAUUAAAAAUUUGUUUUGAAAUUCAGUGCAUUAUUUUUUGUAUGAAUUUAUCUUUUUAAACUUGUACUACAAAGAUCAUGUGUUAGUUUGUCUAUUCUAUAAUAUGUGGGGAAUAUUUUUUCUGAAAUGAACGAACCAAAGCUGAAAGCUCUUUCAUUGUUUGAAGCUGUACUAUUCUCGCGGUGGUUGUCAGCUAUAUUUAAUAUUUUUAAAUGUAAUAAAACCUUUUUUGCAGUUAGGAAUAGAUAUGACAUUUUUCCAAGCGCAAUUUUCUCUCUUUUAUUUUCCGAAUACUUUCUCUCUCAUCAGACAGUCGUAUGCUUGAACGGUCGAUCGAGAGAGCAAGAUACUUUAUUCAUCUUGAUAUAAAUAGCAAUUAAAAAUUUGUUUUGAAAUUCAGUGCAUUAUUUUUUGUAUGAAUUUAUCUUUUUAAACUUGUACUACAAAGAUCAUGUGUUAGUUUGUCUAUUCUAUAAUAUGUGGGGAAUAUUUUUUCUGAAAUGAACGAACCAAAGCUGAAAGCUCUUUCAUUGUUUGAAGCUGUACUAUUCUCGCGGUGGUUGUCAGCUAUAUUUAAUAUUUUUAAAUGUAAUAAAACCUUUUUUGCAGUUAGGAAUAGAUAUGACAUUUUUCCAAGCGCAAUUUUCUCUCUUUUAUUUUCCGAAUACUUUCUUUCUCAUCAGACAGUCGUAUGUUUGAACGGUCGAUCGAGAGAACAAGACAUUUUGUUCGUCUUGAUAUAAGUAGCAAUUAAAAAUUUGUUCUGAAGUUUAAUGCAUUACUUUUUGUAUGAAUUUAGCUUUUUUAAACUUGUACGAAGAGAAUGUAUUAGUUUGUCUAUUCUGUAAUGUGUGGGGAAUAUUUUUUCUGAAAUUCCCUGGGUCCUGUAUUGGAACGAUAUCAACUAGUCCAUCAACAACGGUAGAUCAUCUAAAAGAAAUUUCUUCGUCUUGCGUUUCAUAGGUCAAAUCGAUAGUUUUUUUUUUCUCGAAGGUUUCUUUCUGGAAAUGGUGGAGAUUCACUGGAGAGUUCGAAUUGGUUUUGAAGGGAUGAAUUAAUUAUGAAAUUAUUUAUGGAGUUUAUCUAUCUAUGGA